rnacentral:rRNA from 1 species
CUGGCCUUGACAUAGUAAGAACUUUCCAGAGAUGGAUUGGUGCCUUCGGGAACUUACAUACAGGUGCUGCAUGCCUGUCGUCAGCUCGUGUUGUGAGAUGUUGGGUUAAGUCCCGCAACGAGCGCAACCCUUUUCCUUAUUUGCCAGCGAGUAAUGUCGGGAACUUUACGGAUACUGCCAGUGACAAACUGGAGGAAGGCGGGGACGACGUCAAGUCAUCAUGGCCCUUACGGCCAGGGCUACACACGUGCUACAAUGGUCGGUACAAAGGGUUGCUACCUAGCGAUAGGAUGCUAAUCUCAAAAAGCCGAUCGUAGUCCGGAUUGGAGUCUGCAACUCGACUCCAUGAAGUCGGAAUCGCUAGUAAUCGCGGAUCAGAAUGCCGCGGUGAAUA